AUAAAAGCUAGGAAUGGGCUUGGUGACAACACUGGUGUAGUUUACAAGCCAAAGGAGAGAGAACAAGAUGGUGCAUGCAGUGACUAUGGGUAUUGUGGAAGAAAGAUGCCUACUGCAAGAAGAGGAGGACUUGAACACCAGCGAGCAGUACGGAAAUUGUUGGGAGGAAGGCUGUUCAGGGAGAAUAUGGGGAUACCACCUGAAGAGUAUUGGAUUAGAAGUGGUGCUAAACCCAAAUUUACCAGCCAAAUACCUGGUAGUCCCUGGCCCCCAGCCAGGAGCAAAGAACAAGGGUACCCACCUUUGGCUAAACUGAAGAAGAAAAGAAUAGGCAAGCCACCUUCAAAACUCAGAGACACAAGAUGUGAGGUGGAAGAAGCAUGUGAGAUGCCUAAAAGCAGAGUCCACAAAGGGCAUGGAUCAAGAAAGUCCCUCUCUAAGAGACGAUAAAUGCCAGUAUUUGGGCAGGACUGGAAACAAAAAAGUUAUGUUUUGCAUAAAUCUCAA
rnacentral:lncRNA from 14 species